UCUUACGGCCAUUCACACCAGAAAGCAGCUACUCGCGUCAGAUCUUUGAAGUCAAGCUUGUGGUGGCGUCUUCAACACUGUGGUGGGGGGUCACACUGAAUUAAAGCGUACCGUAUAUU
rnacentral:rRNA from 1 species